rnacentral:rRNA from 1 species
GAAAGGGCGCACGGUGGAUGCCUUGGCACUAGGAGCCGAAGAAGGACGGGACUAACACCGAUAUGCUUUGGGGAGCUGUACGUAAGCGUUGAUCCAGAGAUUUCCGAAUGGGGGAACCCACUAUCUUUAGUCGGAUAGUAUCCUUACGUGAAUACAUAGCGUAAGGAAGGCAGACCCAGGGAACUGAAACAUCUAAGUACCUGGAGGAAGAGAAAGAAAAAUCGAUUUCCUGAGUAGCGGCGAGCGAAACGGAAAGAGCCCAAACCAAGAAGCUUGCUUCUUGGGGUUGUAGGACACUCUAUACGGAGUUACAAAAGAAAGUUAUAAAUGAAGCGGUCUGGAAAGGCCCGCCAAAGACGGUAACAGCCCGGUAGUUGAAAUGGCUUUCCCUCCAGAGUGGAUCCUGAGUACGGCGGAACACGUGAAAUUCCGUCGGAAUCCGGGAGGACCAUCUCCCAAGGCUAAAUACUCCCUAGUGACCGAUAGUGAACCAGUACCGUGAGGGAAAGGUGAAAAGCACCCCGGAAGGGGAGUGAAACAGUUCCUGAAACCGUGUGCCUACAAGUAGUUAGAGCCCGUUAAUGGGUGAUAGCGUGCCUUUUGUAGAAUGAACCGGCGAGUUACGAUUUGUUGCAAGGUUAAGCGGAAAAAGCGGAGCCGUAGCGAAAGCGAGUCUGAAUAGGGCGCAUAAGUAACAGGUCGUAGACCCGAAACCAGGUGAUCUACCCAUGUCCAGGAUGAAGGUAAGGUAAUACUUACUGGAGGUCCGAACCCACGCACGUUGAAAAGUGCGGGGAUGAGGUGUGGGUAGCGGAGAAAUUCCAAUCGAACUUGGAGAUAGCUGGUUCUCUCCGAAAUAGCUUUAGGGCUAGCCUCGAGGUAAAGAGUCAUGGAGGUAGAGCACUGUUUGGACUAGGGGCCCUUCUCGGGUUACCGAAUUCAGAUAAACUCCGAAUGCCAUGUACUUAUACUCGGGAGUCAGACUGCGAGUGAUAAGAUCCGUAGUCGAAAGGGAAACAGCCCAGACCACCAGUUAAGGUCCCCAAAUAUAUGUUAAGUGGAAAAGGAUGUGGGGUUGCUUAGACAACCAGGAUGUUGGCUUAGAAGCAGCCACCAUUGAAAGAGUGCGUAAUAGCUCACUGGUCGAGUGACCCCGCGCCGAAAAUGUACCGGGGCUAAACAUAUUA